UACUACGGGAGGCAGCAGUGGGGAAUAUUGCACAAUGGGCGCAAGCCUGAUGCAGCCAUGCCGCGUGUGUGAAGAAGGCCUUCGGGUUGUAAAGCACUUUCAGUCGUGAGGAAGGUGGUGUAGUUAAUAGCUGCAUUAUUUGACGUUAGCGACAGAAGAAGCACCGGCUAACUCCGUGCCAGCAGCCGCGGUAAUACGGAGGGUGCGAGCGUUAAUCGGAAUUACUGGGCGUAAAGCGCAUGCAGGUGGUUUGUUAAGUCAGAUGUGAAAGCCCGGGGCUCAACCUCGGAAUAGCAUUUGAAACUGGCAGACUAGAGUACUGUAGAGGGGGGUAGAAUUUCAGGUGUAGCGGUGAAAUGCGUAGAGAUCUGAAGGAAUACCGGUGGCGAAGGCGGCCCCCUGGACAGAUACUGACACUCAGAUGCGAAAGCGUGGGGAGCAAACAGGAUUAGAUACCCUGGUAGUCCACGCCGUAAACGAUGUCUACUUGGAGGUUGUGGCCUUGAGCCGUGGCUUUCGGAGCUAACGCGUUAAGUAGA
rnacentral:rRNA from 1 species